rnacentral:rRNA from 1 species
UACGUAGGCAGCGAGCGUUGUUCGGAUUUACUGGGCGUAAAGAGUAUGUAGGCGGUUGCGUAAGUUUGGUGUGAAAUCUCCCGGCUUAACUGGGAGGGUGCGCCGAAAACUGCGUGGCUAGAGUGUGGGAGAGGAAAGCGGAAUUCCUGGUGUAGCGGUGAAAUGCGCAGAUAUCAGGAAGAACACCCGUGGCUAAGGCGGCUCUCUAGUACGGUACUGACGCUGAGACGCGAAAGCGUGGGGAGCGAACAGG